UAAGCCCCUCUUUGUGUUGUG
rnacentral:siRNA from 1 species